AUACUUACCUGGCAGGGGAGAUACCAUGAUCAAGAAGGUGGUUCACCCAGGGCGAGGCUCAGUCAUUGCACUGCGACUGUGCUGACCACUGC
ensembl:snRNA U1 U1 spliceosomal RNA